CGUAGCGCAGCCUGGUAGCGCACCUGAUUUGGGAUCAGGGGGUCGGAGGUUCGAAUCCUCUCGCUCCGACCA
rnacentral:tRNA from 1 species